ACCGGGAUGGCCGAGUGGUUUUAAGGCGUUUGACGUAAGGUCCAAUGGAUAUAUGCCCACAUGGGUUCGAACCCCACUCCUGGUA